UGCAAAAGGUGAAAUGUACUCAUGUGUUAUGGAGCACUUUAAGGCCCUAGCUCUUCAUCACAAUUCUUAGUGUAACAGUACAGGAUGUAAACACUGUAGACACUGUAUGUUGAUGUUUUGUACAAGGCUUAAUGCUCAAAUAUCCAAUCUAACAAAACAAAGGCAAAGUAGUGACAGGAGGAAUACUUAAUCUCCAUCUUGGAAAUGCUAAACCCAUUCAAAUUUUCUUUCUCUCUUUUUCUCUUUUUACUUUCUGUUUUUAUUAUUUUUUCUUUUUCUUCUUUUUUUCAACACAUGGCCCAUAUUUUAUAUGACCUCUGUGCAACAGUCUCUCCCAAGUGUUUUCAUAUGCUGGAGUAGGACCUAACCAUACAUACUGCAAGAUAGUUACAUCUGUCUGGGAAAAUGAAAAAUAGGACAGAUGAAAUCAUGAAGCUCUAUGAGAAACGGAAGCAAAACAAUGUCAAGUUUUCAAUAUUUGAUAUACUUCUCAAAUCUGCAGCUCACUGGAAAUAAUGUUUACUAGGAACAAGCGCUCAUGAUGCCCAUGUCCUAAGACAAGGUGUCCCAAGGUUUCUGCACAAGCAGAAAGGAUUCCCCUCCACUCAGUUCUACUGAAAGGACAUUGAUAAACUCUCCCUUUAACAGCACAUGAAUGUAAUUCUCUUAGCUGCUGAAAGAUUGUGUUUUCACUAGAUAAUUCAUUGGUUACACAUACAAAAAUGUGACAUCAUUAACAACGCCAGCAUAAAAUGUAGCCAUAAAUCAUCAGCAUUCAGCUUUUACUCACAGAUCAUUGCUUGCAAUUUUGAAAAUGUAUGUUUAGAUAAAUAAUUUUCUUCAUCAAGAGUGACAAAUUAAACCUUAGCUUUAAAAUUGUGUACCCACACCACAGUGACUACUUGUUAGGCUCUUUCUCACAGGAUGCAAGGAUGUACUUGGAGCACGGGCUGACCAGCCAUGUAUAUUAUUUUCAGUUUCAGUAGCUGGGACUGCACCAUCCACUAUUCCAUAUAUCAAAGCUAUCUGCUCUGCUAACAGCCCCUGUCAAAUUAUACCAUGCUCAGAUAUGGUGGUAUUUACUUCCUAUCUAUUUCAAUGGGCUUAGAUAGCAAAGUACAAUGCAGGGAGUCUCUAGAGCUGAAAGCUUUGCCUUUGUAUCUGCACUGUCGCUUGCACUAGCUGGCCUUUGGGCAGCUGCUUCUCCAUCACCCACUCCAACAGGGAGGGUUGGAAGCAGCCCAGGACAAAGCCCUGAUGGGAAACACAGUCUGGGGCUGAAGAGGAACAGGGGAGCAGGUGAGAGAAAUCAGCUGACUGCAGCACUGCCUUUAAAUUGUAAGCCCUGGGCUGCUUAGGUCAGAAUAACUUUGGAGGAUUUGUUUGUUUGGUGAGUCAGGAAUUAAUGUGGUACAGUUCCUCAACAGCAAUUUUUAAAAAUUUAUGGACUGGCAGAAAGCAUAAGCAUAAUGCCUUGCUUGCUAUAAAGUUACAGAGGAGUUCUGUCCUGUGUCUGGUGCUUCCACCUCUCCAGCUGUUCCUGGAAGGCUGAAUAAAUCCCAUGGCCACUUUGAUCCUUAGAUAAGAUGUGAAGUUUUUGGUUUGUAAGGAUAAGUACGUGGUUGCAUACCUGAAGAGGAAGGAGCUACAUCCUUGAAGCAGGUAAGAGAAUCACUUUGUGGGCAACUUCAGGAGUUGCGCAGAGUUGGAAAGAAGUGUCUCUGGACCAGCAAAAAGGAAAAGGCAUAAUGCCAGCAUGCCCACUUUUUCUCUUGCCUGGCCUCUUGAGAAGAACCAUGAUCCUGUAACACGAGCUGGAAUGUUUCUCAUAUCAAGUGGAAACUUUAAUUCCUAGCUCCAAUUCAUGAAACAUCACUGAGGACUUCAAGGCACUGGCUUGCUACCAAACAGAAGUAUACCAAACAGAAGGGCAAAAGCCUGCCGUUGUUGAUAUGCUAACCCUCUUUGUCAUGUGUUGAGUUUCUGUUCUGAGAAACAGAGAUACUACAAUACCUAUAUAAAGUGGCUGCAAGAAUAUUUUCCCAUACAGACACAACCCACUUUUCCCUAACGUUGUUCUUGGAAAUGGCAGAAUUACUUCUGCGAGCACUAAAAAAAAAACCAAAAAAUUGCAACAACAAAAGCAGUCUUGCUUCCAGCACCACCUGUUAGACUGAAACCUGAGGCUCAGCCUGACAGAUGACGCUCUUCAGAGAAAGCAGCACAGCAGCUGCACUGCUUUCACUCACUGAACUCAGCAUUUUGAGGCAGCAGUACUAAUUAGGACCUCUUACUAAAAAUGUGACCUCGAUGUUUUGCGUGCUAAUAACUAGUGGUGUCUCCUCAUUAUGGUAAGUGCAAAACCUCUCAACAAACCACCAAUUUCUUCCACUGCUAUUUGAGACAAGCUCAUCUAGAAGCAUGGUAUCACUGUUGCUCAUGCUUAGUGUUUUGUUGAUCAUAUCCUUUCUGUCCCAUGACAAGAAGUACUCUAGUACAGACUAGGAGAUGUUAUCUAGGAGAUGAAGGCCAGUAGGUUAUGGUAAGGCUGCAUUUCUGCAACAGAAAAAUCUUCUAACAUGCUGAUAGUGAUAGUUUAAACUGCAUAAACAGCAGGAAGAGUCCUUGGUCAGAGGAGUCAGGCUGUAGACUGAGCUGGUGAUGCCUGGGUUGAACUCCAGGCACAGCUAUCAGCUUGUUAUCAGUUUAUUCAUGUCUUUGUGUGCCUGUUCCCAGUACAUGAAAUCCGUGCUACUGAACAGGACUACUGCAAGGAAAUGUCACUACUGUGCUAUUUGCAGUGUCUUGCUGUUUUAAGGCAGGGCGAGAAAAGAGGUCUGAACUACAACUUUAUCAGAUUUGUAGUAAAUGUCCUAAGUUCUGAAUCUGAAGCAACGCAGCAUCUGUGGUUGAGAAGGAAACAGCAUGCCACACUUUUUUCUGGGAACUAUAACAUUGCCCUUACAAUACUUGCUUUGAAAUGGUACUUUGCUCUGAAUUUGUUACACAACUCUCUGAGGAAGAGUCUGCUCGCGCUGGGUGGGUGCGUGGACUCCCCAGGCUCUUGCUUCCCUGCUUGGGAAGUGCCACGGUGGGGCAGCGGGAUGCAGUCCAUGGAACAACUGACCCAGCUUUCCAAGGACCUGCUCCAAAGAAAUAAAAAUGUGCUUUUCCAUUGACUUUCACAGAAUUUGGAUUGAUCCCCAGAUGUCUGUCAGUUCUCCUUAAUUGUGGAAAUCCUGCUAAGGAAACCAAAUGGCAAUUUAGAGGAGACAAAAAUUUUUUUCUGGAGGGGGGGAAAAAAGUUUCACUGCAAAUCACUGCAGGUUCUCCUUGAUAAGAAGUCUUGUACAAGUCCGUGGAGUGGCUAAGGCUGAGGCAACCUGAUCUUAAUCUAGAGAUUAAAACUAAGCUAACAGAAAGCACCUACUUUCUCAUCCUUCCAUCAGUGAAUGUUUUGAAACCUCAGUUUUUCAGUUCUCUCAGAGCUGUCUCUGACUCUGGAGGACCUCCUUUAAACAGGGACCUAGUAGAUUACCAGCUCAAAGGAGGAGAAAAUAGUGCAGAAGAAGCAGAACCAACAAACAGCAGUUCGGAUUCUUUGAAACCAAGUGUUACCUGCAUAUCAACCUCCUCCUGUCUGAGGGACACACCACUUGUUCAGGGUGCUGUACAAGGUUUAGUCUAACGUCUUGUGGCAUCUUGAAUUAAUUUAAACCUUUAAUUUCCCAUAAUUAGUUUUUUCAGCUUUGCAAAUGAGUCAGUAAAAUUUCCAUCUAGUUUUGGAGAGCUUGUAACUAAAGUUCUCUUUUCUCUGACAUAGCUUUUUCAUCUUCCAAUAAUGUUAACUUUGAUUUUUUUUUCCUUCUAUAAAUGCCUGAAUUUAAGUUCCCAUCCCCUUCCCACGUGCAGGAUCUACUCUGUGCAAACCCUUAGUUUCUUCUUCACUGUGCUUUCAAAUCUUCCACCCUAGCCAGAGCUAAAAAUAUUCAUGUUGGCAUUAGUCAGCAGAAAACUCUGCAUCUUUGUUCAGGAAUCUGAACGUGAACUUACAAAAGAGACUGUAUCUGUACACUGCUAUUCCACCUACUCCUGUUAAUCCCUGUAUUUGCAAAUAAGCCACUACUGCACAAAUUAUGCUAUUGAUUUUGAUGAGUUCAAAUGCAUGAAAUUUGCUAGUUCUCAUCAACACCCUGGUAGCACAAUCCAAACAUUGACUCAGCUAAUGUUUUCAUCUUAGUGCCAUAAAGUUAUGCAUAUUUAUUUUAUUUAACAUAAGCAAUUUAAAUUUGCUUUUCCUUACUACCAUAAAGGGAUUUCAGAACUGUACUAUGAAAACCAUUUGCUUUGUAAAAUGAAGACGGGGCUCCAUGUGUCUAAAUAGCAUGUAGGAAUAAUGAGAUACAGAGAAUGCAAACUCUACUCAGAAUAGUGGUCCAGAAGAGAGGAUUGUGACCUAUAGAAGGGGAAUUUAGC